CAGUCCUGGUAUAAUUAGCUCGUGUCUUUUCCUUGUUUGUUGCGGAGUCCGACAAAAUGCUGAGAAGUCGACAAAAACACUCGUGGUUUCAGAUCGCUUUGUGAAACAACCGAAUCCGCGUGUUUAAUAUUCCCCCACGGAUUUUCUUUUUCAAUUUGUUUAUAACAUUUGCAAGAAUUUUUUUUUUCUUCUGAUUGACUCACUUGUGGUGAAAACAAGAAUGUGGCGAGCCCCACACAGGAAGUAGACAGGGUUCCAAGGGGCAUCCUGGGAAUGGGAGUACUUUGCGUGAGAGAUAAGGAUGAGAGCUGGCGAUAGAGGUGAAAAAACACGCAAUGGAAACUGGAGAUUGUAUGAGUGGAGUCAUGGCGAACCGAUGUGCGUGUAUUGUGCCGCAGCCAGACGCUCUGCAGUUGUAGACAGGAGACCCAAGUUCGAUUCUGGAGUGGGAAACGUGUUUAUAUAUUUCUAGACGCAUGCUCAUAAUCAGAUUUGUGGUGAUGAUGAUAACGAUGACGGCAUGACAACCACGAUAAUUGUGCUGCUGCUGCUGCUGCUAUUGCUGCUGCUCCUGCUACUGCUGCUGCUGCUGCUGCUGCUGCUGAUGAUGAUGAUGACGUUGAAAGCGGACUGAAAAUUACUCAUGACAUCACCUCCAUAUUUGCCUUUUUGGCAAUGGUGAUGGUGUCACUGCUGCUGAGACUGCAGCUGUUGCUGUUGUUAUUGCCGUUUCUGCUGUUUCUGCUGUUGCUGUUGAUGUGAUGAUAACGCUGAACAUAUUUUAUAAUGUCAUUAAACUUCAAAUACUAAAUACUCCA